rnacentral:rRNA from 1 species
UCAGAUUGAACGCUGGCGGAAUGCUUUACACAUGCAAGUCGAACGGUAGAGGGGGCAACCCCUUGAGAGUGGCGAACGGGUGAGUAAUAUAUCGGAACGUGCCCAGUCGUGGGGGAUAACGUAGCGAAAGUUACGCUAAUACCGCAUACGAUCUACGGAUGAAAGCGGGGGAUCGCAAGACCUCGCGCGAUUGGAGCGGCCGAUAUCAGAUUAGGUAGUUGGUGGGGUAAAGGCUCACCAAGCCAACGAUCUGUAGCUGGUCUGAGAGGACGACCAGCCACACUGGAACUGAGACACGGUCCAGACUCUACGGGAGGCAGCAGUGGGGAAUUUUGGACAAUGGACGCAAGUCUGAUCCAGCCAUUCCGCGUGCAGGAUGAAGGCCCUCGGGUUGUAAACUGCUUUUGUACGGAACGAAAAGGUUUCUCUUAAUACGAGGAGCUCAUGACGGUACCGUAAGAAUAAGCACCGGCUAACUACGUGCCAGCAGCCGCGGUAAUACGUAGGGUGCAAGCGUUAAUCGGAAUUACUGGGCGUAAAGCGUGCGCAGGCGGUUAUGUAAGACAGAGGUGAAAUCCCCGGGCUCAACCUGGGAACUGCCUUUGUGACUGCAUAGCUAGAGUACGGUAGAGGGGGAUGGAAUUCCGCGUGUAGCAMUGAAAUGCGUAGAUAUGCGGAGGAACACCGAUGGCGAAGGCAAUCCCCUGGACCUGUACUGACGCUCAUGC